AUUGAACGCUGGCGGCAGGCUUAACACAUGCAAGUCGAGCGGGGUGAGGUGCUUCGGUACUGAUCCUAGCGGCGGACGGGUGAGUAAUGCUUAGGAAUCUGCCAUUUAGUGGGGGACAACAUUCCGAAAGGAAUGCUAAUACCGCAUACGUCCUACGGGAGAAAGCAGGGGAUCUUCGGACCUUGCGCUAAAUGAUGAGCCUAAGUCGGAUUAGCUAGUUGGUGGGGUAAAGGCCUACCAAGGCGACGAUCUGUAGCGGGUAUGAGAGGAUGAUCCGCCACACUGGGACUGAGACACGGCCCAGACUCCUACGGGAGGCAGCAUGGGGGAAUAUUGGACAAUGGGCGGAAGCCUGAUCCAGCCAUGCCGCGUGUGUGAAGAAGGCCUUUUGGUUGUAAAGCACUUUAAGCGAGGAGGAGGCUACCUGGAUUAAUACUCUGGGAUAGUGGACGUUACUCGCAGAAUAAGCACCGGCUAACUCUGUGCCAGCCGCCGCCGUAA
rnacentral:rRNA from 1 species